rnacentral:rRNA from 1 species
GAUGAACGCUAGCGGCAGGCCUAAUACAUGCAAGUCGGACGGGAUUGGAGAGCUUGCUUUCCAUGAGAGUGGCGCACGGGUGCGUAACACGUAUGUAACCUACCUUGUUCAGGGGGAUAGCCUCUCGAAAGAGAGAUUAAGACCGCAUAACAUUGCAAUGUGGCAUCACAAAGCAAUCAAAUAUUUAUAGGAACAAGAUGGGCAUGCGGAACAUUAGCUAGUUGGUAAGGUAACGGCUUACCAAGGCUACGAUGUUUAGGGGAUCUGAGAGGAUGA